ensembl:misc_RNA Y_RNA Y RNA
GGCUGGUCCAAUGGUAGUGAGUAAUCAGAAAAAACAUUAACGUUAGUGUCACUAAAGCUGGUAAACAACCCCCCCACUGCUAGAUUUGACUGGCUUAAA